rnacentral:rRNA from 1 species
UACGGAGGAGGCAAGCGUUAUCCGGAAUUAUUGGGCGUAAAGCGUCCGCAGGUGGCGAUUCAAGUCUGCGGUUAAAGACUGGGGCUUAACCCUGGAAAGGCCGUGGAAACUGAAACGCUAGAGUGCAGUAGGGGUAGAGGGUAUUCCCGGUGUAGCGGUGAAAUGCGUAGAGCUCGGGAAGAACAUCGGUGGCGAAAGCGCUCUGCUGGACUGCAACUGACACUCAGUGACGAAAGCUAGGGGAGCGAAUGGG